rnacentral:rRNA from 1 species
GAUAAACGCUGGCGGCGUGCAUAACACAUUCAAGUCGAACGGGAAUCGAAUGAUUGAGACUUCGGUUGAUAGAUUUCGAGGAUAGUGGCGGACGGGUGAGUAACGCGUGAGCAACCUGCCUUCAUGAGGGGGAUAACAGUUGGAAACGACUGCUAAUACCGCAUGGUACAGGGGUGAAAGGAGAAAUCCACUCGAAGAUGGGCUCGCGGCUGAUUAGCUAGUUGGUGAGGUAACGGCCCACCAAGGCGACGAUCAGUAGCCGAACUGAGAGGUUGAUCGGCCACAUUGGGACUGAGACACGGCCCAGACUCCUACGGGAGGCAGCAGUCGGGAAUAUUGCACAAUGGGGGAAACCCUGAUGCAGCGACGCCGCGUAAAGGAAGAAGGUCUUCGGAUUGUAAACUUUUGUCGACAGGGAAGAAUAAAAUGACAGUACCUGUGGAGGAAGCCCCGGCUAACUACGUG